rnacentral:rRNA from 1 species
UACGGGGGGAGCAAGCGUUGUUCGGAUUCAUUGGGCGUAAAGGGCGCGUAGGUGGCCUUGUAGGUCCGACGUGAAAUGUACCGGUUCAACCGGGGCACUGUGUCGGAAACUGCCUGGCUUGAGGUCGAGGGAGGAAAGUGGAAUUCCUGGUGUAGCGGUGAAAUGCGUAGAUAUCAGGAGGAACACCAACGGCGAAGGCAGCUCGCUGGGACGGUACUGACGCUGAGACGCGAAAGCGUGGGGAGCGAACAGG